UUUUUUUUUUUUUUUUCAAUUUUGAAACUUGAAUUUAUUACUUUUAAGUAACAAUAAUUUACUCAUAUUACAGAAACAUAUCAAUACAAUAAACCAACCAGGGUCAUACAUCUGACUUGCAGUUAUCUGGUUAACAAGGAAGCUGGAGAUCAUUGUGAACUACCCCAGGGAACGCUUGCUGUUUUGGUUAAGAGUCCCACAUAUACACCAACUGGCCUCGAACUCGCUAGGUGAAUUCUGGCUAUUGUUCCGUUCUCUAAACACAGAUUAAUACACAAAAAGGCAGAUUAAGGUGAACCAGCUGUUAUCUGUUAUCUACUGGUCUGUACUCCAGUCUGAAAGGAACACACAUUAACAUCUCAUACAGUACUGGUUUUCUGGUGUUUAGGAAUUCAUCAGGUAAAGCCAGGUAUGGUCACAGAAACCUUAAUCCCAGUAUUUGGGAAGACAGACAAGUUUGAGGGUAACCUGGUCUACAUAGCAAGUUCCAGGCCAAGCCAGAGUUACAUAGUUAAGACCCUGACUUAAAAAGCCCUACAAAGGCCCUUUCAAGACUUUGUACUAACUAGGAAUGGGACAAAGUAUAACUUGAAAAAAAAAAAUACUUUUUACACAAAUGAGACAGAGUCAACCAGCAAGUGUCCCAAAUCUCAUCUAAGUUUCAAGUGACUUCUGAGGGGGAAGUUCUCUCCACUGAACCCCACUUGUGAACUGAUCCAUGUGCCUAGGGUGCACAGGACCGACUUCAAAGCUGAUGGGAAGUUCCCUGAAGAACAAAGCCUGGAAAUUGCUUGUUCAACACUGGCUUAUAAACUCUCCAUGACUGCAGGAAACAGUAAGUGAGGUUGGCAUCUAAAUGUUUAAUAAACCUGCUUGCUUGAGGGUCAGUGCUCAUGAAGCCUGGCCGGGUGAGCUGUUAGUGCUUUGAUGAAGCUAAGGGUGACCACGCGACUUGCAGACAGGAUCUCCCUGAGGAUCCAAGUAGCCAUUGUUUUAAGUAUGCUUCCUUCUAGUGGCAAACCUAGCAAGCAGGACCGAGGUAGCUACACGGCUUUUAGACACCAGUUAGCAAAUUUAACGACAAUUCGUGGUGUAGCCAGUUGUUUGGUUUUGCUGAUUUCUUUUAAUGACAAGGGGAGAAUAAUCAGCAAAGAGCACACGGAUCGGUUGCUUAGAAGUCAGCAUCCAAGGUGAAAGAAUUUUCUGUCGAAUUUGACAUUACUCCCAUCCUCUGGUACUCGCCUACUCGCUUCUCAAAGAAGUUUGUUUUUCCUUCUAGUGAAAUAUUCUCCAUGAAGUCAAAUGGAUUUUCUACUUUGAAAAUCUUGUUAAAACCCAGCUCCAGCAUAAGCCUGUCGGCCACAAACUCGAUGUACUGCUUCAUCAAGGUGCAAUUCAUCCCGAUGAGCUUCACAGGCAGGGCCUCUGUGAGGAACUCCUGCUCUAUCCUGACCGCGUUGGUAAUUAUUUCUUUUACUCUCUGCUCCGAGGGCUUGUGUACCAGGUGCUUGAACAUCAGGCAGGCAAAGUCACAGUGCAGACCCUCAUCUCUGCUAAUAAGUUCAUUGGAAAAUGUAAGGCCCGGCAUCAGUCCCCGUUUCUUGAGCCAGAAUAUUGAUGCAAAAGAACCAGAAAAGAAGAUUCCUUCUACCGCAGCGAAGGCCACAACUCGUUCUCCAUACGUAGCCUCUUUGUCCCCAAUCCAACGCAAGGCCCAGUCAGCCUUCUUCUUCACACAAGGCAUUGUCUCAAUGGCGUUGAAGAGAUAUUCUCUUUCUUUGGAAUCUUUAAUGUAAGUGUCAAUAAGGAGACUGUACAUUUCGGAGUGUAUGUUCUCCAUGGCAAUUUGGAAGCCAUAGAAACAGCGGGCCUCUGUGACUUGAACUUCUUGGCUAAAUCGCUCCACCAAGUUCUCAUUGACUAUGCCAUCACUCGCCGCAAAGAAGGCCAGAACAUGAGAUAUAAAAUGUCUCUCAUCUGGUUUCAGAGCUUCCCAGUGCUGAAUAUCCUUGGAAAGGUCCACCUCCUCGGCAGUCCAAAAGGAGGCCUCAGCUUUCUUGUACAUCUGCCAGAUAUCAUGGUAUUCGAUGGGAAAGACAACGAAACGGCGGGGAUUUUCUCUCAGUAACGGCUCUUCCUCAAUGCUGGGUUUAGUGGGUGCUUUACUUUCCAGCUCGGCAGAGUCCUGGAAGAUUCUCCUUGCAGCCUUGCUAGCCAGGACGCGGGCGCUGCUGAGGGUUGGGGGCGUGUUCUCCUUGUCAGCCAGACUGAGUCGCUUCAGGGGCGACAAGUGCAGCUGCUGCUGGUCAGCGAUGGUGGCGAGCGGGGCGCGGACCGAGAGCAUGGCGAACGAAGGCAGAGGUGGAGAGGACGAGGAGAAGAGGGAACAGCUGGAAUCCGGUGCACC
rnacentral:lncRNA from 1 species